GUCGAGCGGAAUGAUGAGAGCUUGCUCUCUGAUUUUAGCGGCGGACGGGUGAGUAACACGUGGGCAACCUGCCCUACAGAUGGGGAUAACUCCGGGAAACCGGGGCUAAUACCGAAUAAUCAGUUUGUCCGCAUGGACAAACUCUGAAAGACGGUUUCGGCUGUCACUGUAGGAUGGGCCCGCGGCGCAUUAGCUAGUUGGUGGGGUAAUGGCCUACCAAGGCGACGAUGCGUAGCCGACCUGAGAGGGUGAUCGGCCACACUGGGACUGAGACACGGCCCAGACUCCUACGGGAGGCAGCAGUAGGGAAUCUUCCACAAUGGACGAAAGUCUGAUGGAGCAAUGCCGCGUGAGCGAAGAAGGUUUUCGGAUCGUAAAGCUCUGUUGUAAGGGAAGAACACGUACGGGAGUAACUGCCCGUGCCAUGACGGUACCUUAUUAGAAAGCCACGGCUAACUACGUGCCAGCAGCCGCGGUAAUACGUAGGUGGCAAGCGUUGUCCGGAAUUAUUGGGCGUAAAGCGCGCGCAGGCGGUUCUUUAAGUCUGAUGUGAAAGCCCACGGCUCAACCGUGGAGGGUCAUUGGAAACUGGAGAACUUGAGUACAGAAGAGGAAAGCGGAAUUCCACGUGUAGCGGUGAAAUGCGUAGAGAUGUGGAGGA
rnacentral:rRNA from 1 species